UACAGAGGGUGCAAGCGUUAAUCGGAAUUACUGGGCGUAAAGCGUGCGCAGGUGGCGCUUCAAGUUUUGAUGUGAAAGCUUCGGGCUUAACCCGGAAAUGGCAUUGAAUACUGGAGUGCUGGAGGUUUGGAGGGGGGACUGGAAUUCGUCGGUGUAGCAGUGAAAUGCGUAGAUAUCGAGAGGAACACCAGUGGCGAAGGCGAGUCCCUGGACAACACCUGACACUGAGGCACGAAGCUAGGGGAGCAAACAGGA
rnacentral:rRNA from 1 species